GUGGUAUCCUGUCUGAAUAUGGGGGGACCAUCCUCCAAGGCUAAAUACUCCUGACUGACCGAUAGUGAACCAGUACCGUGAGGGAAAGGCGAAAAGAACCCCGGCGAGGGGAGUGAAAUAGAACCUGAAACCGUGUACGUACAAGCAGUGGGAGCACCUUCGGGUGUGACUGCGUACCUUUUGUAUAAUGGGUCAGCGACUUAUAUUCUGUAGCUAGGUUAACCGUAUAGGGGAGCCGCAGGGAAACCGAGUCUUAACUGGGCGUUAAGUUGCAGGGUAUAGACCCGAAACCCGGUGAUCUAGCCAUGGGCAGGUUGAAGGU
rnacentral:rRNA from 1 species